CUGUUCCUCUCGCUACAGGGGACAGGGGGCCGUGGCGGCCAUCCGCCGGCGAUGGCCGUGCGUGGCGGCCAUCCGUCCCCUGCCCCUGCCUACAAAGAGCCCCUGGGCGCCCCCCGAAACCCUAGCUUUCGCCUCCCCCCUCUCGCCGUUUCCCUCCCCCACGCACACCAACCGAAGCUCUGCCCGCCAUGGAUGACCUUAGUUGCCGUGGCCACCUCCCUCCCCGAGCUAUGACACCGCGUCGAAGAGGACCGUCGUCGUCUGCUACAUCAUCUGCGGGGAUCCAUUCGACCGGAGCCGCACUGUGCAUCGCCGGGAUCGACGCAUCUACCUCGCCUAUGGCCGCCGCUGCCCCGCGCCCGAUCUACCUCACCGGAGCUCCUCCGCCCCGCCGGACGCGUCGUCCGCCUCCCCCUACCCCGAGACCGAUGCUGCCCCUGUGAUCGACUACGUCACCGAUGACACUUCUUCCUUUUCAGCAGAGCUUUCAGAUGGUGGAGCCCAGGAUCCAGACGUCACCUUCGACGACAACUG